rnacentral:rRNA from 1 species
GACGAACGCUGGCGGCGUGCUUAACACAUGCAAGUCGAGCGGAAAGGCCCUUCGGGGUACUCGAGCGGCGAACGGGUGAGUAACACGUGAGUAACCUGCCCCAGACUUUGGGAUAACCCUCGGAAACGGGGGCUAAUACCGGAUACGACACAGCUUCGCAUGGGGUCUGUGUGGAAAGUUUUUCGGUUUGGGAUGGGCUCGCGGCCUAUCAGCUUGUUGGUGGGGUGAUGGCCUACCAAGGCGACGACGGGUAGCCGGCCUGAGAGGGCGACCGGCCACACUGGGACUGAGACACGGCCCAGACUCCUACGGGAGGCAGCAGUGGGGAAUAUUGCACAAUGGGCGGAAGCCUGAUGCAGCGACGCCGCGUGAGGGAUGACGGCCUUCGGGUUGUAAACCUCUUUCAGCAGGGACGAAGCGUAAGUGACGGUACCUGCAGAAGAAGCGCCGGCAAACUACGUG